rnacentral:tRNA from 1 species
AGGUUAAGGCUAUGGAUCGCCAAUCCAGAGACGGCGGGUUCGAUUCCCGUUCCGGUCG